CACACGCAGCCUGUACGUGUUUUCGCAUUUGCUAUUAUACUAAUUCUGGAGAUAUGCUAUUCCAUUGCCACCCACAACGACAAUCCAGUUAAAACUGUUGUCCAAUGUAGUGAAACACAUAAUAUUGAAAUUCAGAGAAGUUUAACAGAGCUCGGAAUGAAAAUAGACAAAUUAUCCAAUUCUUUUGGACAGACAUAUAAAGUUGAGGGCAAGAGAUUCUUCAAUGCUGCUUACGGUAAAUAGGUCA